AUGGCCCAAGCUCGCGUCGCCCUCGCGCUGUGCGCCCUGCUGCUCCUCCACGGCGUCGCCUGGGAGGCGCGGGCGGCGUCGUACACCGUCGGGAACAGCGCCGGCUGGGACAUCAGCGCCGACCUCCAGUCGUGGGCCGCCGCCAAGAUAUUCAACGUCGGCGACGUUCUAGUGUUCACGUACUCCAAGACCCACACCCUGGACGAGGUGGACGCGGCGGGGUUCAAGAGCUGCAGCGCCGCCAACGCGCUGCUCUCCAGCAGCGACGGCAACACGACGGUGCCCCUGACGGCGGGCGGCGACCGGUACUUCAUCUGCGGCCACCAGAUGCACUGCCUCGGCGGCAUGAAGCUGCACGUGCACGUCACCUCGCCAGCCGGCUCCACCACGCCGGGAGCCCCUGCCGGCGCCCCGCGGGCGAGCCCCGGCGCCGCUCUCGGCCCGGCCGGCGGCACCGACGACGACGCCGGCAUCCCCAGGCUCGACCUCGGCGGGUCGCACCGGCUGGGGGUCGUGUGGCCCGCGCUGGCGACGUUGUGGUUGUGCCUAGCUGCGGCUCUGUUUGCAUGA
rnacentral:rRNA from 1 species